CCUACGGGUGGCUGCAGUGAGGAAUAUUGAUCAAUGGACGAGAGUCUGAACCAGCCAAGUAGCGUGAAGGAUGACUGCCCUAUGGGUUGUAAACUUCUUUUAUAUGGGAAUAAAAUGUUUCUCGUGUGGGAUUUUGUAUGUACCAUAUGAAUAAGGAUCGGCUAACUCCGUGCCAGCAGCCGCGGUAAUACGGAGGAUCCGAGCGUUAUCCGGAUUUAUUGGGUUUAAAGGGAGCGUAGGUGGAUUGUUAAGUCAGUUGUGAAAGUUUGCGGCUCAACCGUAAAAUUGCAGUUGAUACUGGCAGUCUUGAGUACAGUAGAGGUGGGCGGAAUUCGUGGUGUAGCGGUGAAAUGCUUAGAUAUCACGAAGAACUCCGAUUGCGAAGGCAGUUCACUGGACUGCAACUGACACUGAGGCUCGAAAGUGUGGGUAUCAAACAGGAUUAGAUACCCGGGUAGUC
rnacentral:rRNA from 1 species